rnacentral:rRNA from 1 species
CUACGGGAGGCUGCAGUGGGGAAUAUUGGACAAUGGGCGAAAGCCUGAUCCAGCCAUGCCGCGUGUGUGAAGAAGGCCUUCGGGUUGUAAAGCACUUUCAGUGGGGAAGAAAGCCUUGGGGCUAAUACCCUCGAGGAAGGACAUCACCCACAGAAGAAGCACCGGCUAACUCCGUGCCAGCAGCCGCGGUAAUACGGAGGGUGCGAGCGUUAAUCGGAAUUACUGGGCGUAAAGCGCGCGUAGGCGGUCUGAUAAGCCGGUUGUGAAAGACCCGGGCUCAACCUGGGAACGGCAUCCGGGCGGUGAGGCUGGAGUGCAGAAGAGGAAAGAAGAAUUCACUGUGUAGCGGUGAAAUGAGUAGAGAUAGGGAGGAAUAACAGUGGAGAAGGAGAACUUCUGGACUGUAAAUGAAGCUGAGGUUCGAAAGAGGGGGUAGCAAACAGGAUUAGAGACCCCUGUAGUA